rnacentral:rRNA from 1 species
GACGAACGCUGGCGGCGUGCUUAACACAUGCAAGUCGAACGGUAAGGCCCUUCGGGGUACACGAGUGGCGAACGGGUGAGUAACACGUGGGCGAUCUGCCCUGCACUUCGGGAUAAGCCUGGGAAACUGGGUCUAAUACCGGAUAGGACCACUGCCUGCAUGGGUGGUGGUGGAAAGCUUUUGCGGUGUGGGAUGGGCCCGCGGCCUAUCAGCUUGUUGGUGGGGUGAUGGCCUACCAAGGCGACGACGGGUAGCCGGCCUGAGAGGGUGACCGGCCACACUGGGACUGAGAUACGGCCCAGAGUCCUACGGGAGGCGGCAGUGGGGAAUAUUGCACAAUGGGCGCAAGCCUGAUGCAGCGACGCCGCGUGAGGGAUGACGGCCUUCGGGUUGUAAACCUCUUUCAGCACCGACGAAGCGCAAGUGACGGUAGGUGCAGAAGAAGGACCGGCCAACUACGUGCCAGCCGCCGCGGUAA